GGCAGCUGGUCACUGGUGGUGUCCCCCAGGGCUCUGUACUGGAGGCUCUGUACUGUGCUGGUUUUUAUCUUUAUUGAUGAUCUGAGUGAGGGCAUCAAGAGCUCCUGUGGUCAGUUUGAGGACAAGGCCAAGCUGGAAGACCUAGAAGAAUGAUCUGAGGUUUCCACCUUUUUUAUGCACCCUGUCAGCAAAAAAUUUUACUGAAGGUGAGCACUCACCUUCAGUAUGUUUUUAUUUCUGAAUUAUAUACAUAUACCCCUGACCUAAUAUAAAUAUUAUAAAACAUACACAAAAAUAAAAAUGAAAAAAUUAGAGAAAGGUUAAACAAACAAUGUUUUAAAAUUCUCUUCAGUUAUAUUUACCAAAGGUACAAAAUACAUUUUCUUCCUGCAACCCAGUGGGUUCGGAUACACACCCCACUUUGGAGACUAUAAACUGAGAUCUCCUGUAAAGUAGUUUAAAUAAAUUUUCCAGUCAUCCAAUAGUAACUGUUUUUCUCUCUCUUUUUAUGUUUUUGCUGUUUUUGUAGCUGACAUUUCCACUUUUAGAAAACAGGGCAUGGUACAAGGGCAAAACCCUUAGAUUGUAUCUAUGCUGUGAUUACAGUCCUGGUCUGACCCCAGGCCCAAAGUGCUCAGUUCUCUUUCAGGCAGUCUUACUGGAAGAUGACAGUUAAGAGCUGGGAACUGUGUGGGAAAUCACUUAGUUAUUGCCUUUAACUUA